AUGGAUGUAAAAAAAACCUUUUUUCAUGGUGAUCUUCGCGAGACGGUCUACUAUCAACAACCUUCUGAGUUCGUCAAGCCCGAUCAUCCCACUCAUAUUUGCUGCCUCCAUAAAUCUCUCUAUGGCCUCAAACAAGUACCCUGCAGAUGGUUCCAUCGCUUUAAAACAUUCAUUCACUCCAUCGGUUUUGCGGCCUCCAAGAGAAAUUCAUCACUCUUCAUUCUCCACCAUGGCUCUUCCAUUGCCUAUCUCUUACUUUAUGUCGAUGCUAUCAUUCUCACCACCAACACCACCGCUCUCCUCCGCCACAUCAUCAACUCCCUCAAACACGAGUUCUCCAUGAGCGAUUUAGGUGAUAUUCGUCAUUUCUUGGGCGUCAAUGUACAUCAUACCACCCAGAGACGGUGUCUCUUCCAACAACAAUAUGCAGUUGAGAUUCUUGACUGUGCCCACAUGCUGAACUGCACACCAAUCUCCACUCCCAUCGACACAUGCUCCAAAUUGUCCGCUCACUCAGGCUCUCGUUUUAGUGAUCCCACACACUACCGGAGCCUCGCCGACGCUCUCUAG
rnacentral:rRNA from 1 species